rnacentral:rRNA from 1 species
AACGGACGCUGGCGGCAUGCCUAACACAUGCAAGUCGAACGAGACCUUCGGGUCUAGUGGCGCACGGGUGCGUAACGCGUGGGAACCUGCCUUUAGGUUCGGAAUAACUCAGAGAAAUUUGAGCUAAUACCGGAUGAUGUCUUCGGACCAAAGAUUUAUCGCCUUUAGAUGGGCCCGCGUUGGAUUAGCUAGUAGGUGGGGUAAAGGCCUACCAAGGCGACGAUCCAUAGCUGGCCUGAGAGGAUGAUCAGCCACACUGGGACUGAGACACGGCCCAGACUCCUACGGGAGGCAGCAGUGGGGAAUAUUGGACAAUGGGCGAAAGCCUGAUCCAGCAAUGCCGCGUGAGUGAUGAAGGCCUUAGGGUUGUAAAGCUCUUUUACCCGAGAUGAUAAUGACAGUAUCGGGAGAAUAAGCUCCGGCUAACUCCGUG